UCAUGACACUUCACAAUAUUGUGUAUUUGUACAAGUUGAUAACAAUAAUUUAUGGGAAGAAUGGUAUCAAGAGUACGAAAUCAUUAUUAACCAAGGAAUUAAUUUAGUAUUUUUCAAAUUCUUAACCAAAAAAAUUAAGAAUUAUAUCCGGACUGUAAUUACAGAAAAGUAUUUUCAGCUCGGAUUUAAAUUUGAUCCAAUUACCCAAGAAACAUUUAUACCAAAACCAGAUGACUCAAUUGAGCUAGAAUUGGAAUUUAAAACAACAGAUGAAUAGUCAACAAAGACAAUAUUAAUAGAGACUCAUUAAAUGUUGUAAAAAUAUACAUUACAUUUUAAAUUUACGUUUAAAAAUAAACCACAAUUACAUAAUUAAAUUGUAAAUCUUUGAAUAAUUAUUAAAACAAAAUAAUAUGGU